CCGGAGAUCCAGGCUCCAGAAACAGAGGAAUUUCAGGCUUCAGGAUUUCAGAGGCCAAAUUCCAUCUGGCCUAGUCUGCCUGGCUCACGGAAGGAGGUGGAACAGCUGUGCGCACAUCUGCCAGAGGAGCUCUUUAAAGAGCAGAGAGGAUGCUAUUUUCCUACCAGCAGUAGCAGCAGCAGGAUAAGAAAACCGAAGUUCACCAAAGUAAAGUGACUUGUCCAAGACCUCACAGCUAUCAAGUAGAGAAACUGGGAUUUGGAUGCAGGUCUGUCUGACUCCAGACACCGCGAUCUUAACCAUCGAGGCAGAGUUUCUACCUUUUAGGAAUUUCCAAAUAGAGGAGACAACCUCAGGACUUGAACAAUGCAGAAACACAGUCAAAAAUACAAAGAGCUAGGGAGUGAUGCCUAUAUUGUGCUGUGAGGGUUAAUAUCGCUUCCUGUCAAAGGACAAUCUA
rnacentral:lncRNA from 10 species